rnacentral:rRNA from 1 species
UACGAAGGGGGCUAGCGUUGCUCGGAAUGACUGGGCGUAAAGGGCGCGUAGGCGGACGGCUUUGUCGGGCGUGAAAUUCCAGGGCUUAACCUUGGGGCUGCGUUCGAGACGGGUUGUCUAGAGUUUGGAAGAGGGUCGUGGAAUUCCCAGUGUAGAGGUGAAAUUUGUAGAUAUUGGGAAGAACACCGGUGGCGAAGGCGGCGACCUGGUCCUUGACUGACGCUGAGGCGCGAAAGCGUGGGGAGCAAACAGG